GACGAACGCCGGCGGCGUGCUUAACACAUGCAAGUCGAGCGGUAAGGCCCUUUCGGGGGUACACGAGCGGCGAACGGGUGAGUAACACGUGGGUGACCUGCCCUUAGCUCUGGGAUAAGCCUGGGAAACUGGGUCUAAUACCGGAUAUGACUCCAUGACGCAUGUUGUGGGGUGGAAAGCCUUGUGCGGCUAGGGAUGGGCCUGCGGCCUAUCAGCUUGUUGGUGGGGUGAUGGCCACCAAGGCGACGACGGGUAGCCGGCCUGAGAGGGCGACCGGCCACACUGGGACUGAGACACGGCCCAGACUCCUACGGGAGGCAGCAGUGGGGAAUCUUGCGCAAUGGGCGAAAGCCUGACGCAGCGACGCCGCGUGGGGAUGACGGCCUCGGUUGUAA
rnacentral:rRNA from 1 species